UGGGGAAUUUUGGACAAUGGGGGCAACCCUGAUCCAGCCAUGCCGCGUGAGUGACGAAGGCCUUAGGGUUGUAAAGCUCUUUUGGCGGGGAAGAUAAUGACGGUACCCGCAGAAUAAGCUCCGGCUAACUUCGUGCCAGCAGCCGCGGUAAUACGAAGGGAGCUAGCGUUGUUCGGAAUCACUGGGCGUAAAGCGCACGUAGGCGGAUUUGUCAGUCAGGGGUGAAAUCCCGGGGCUCAACCUCGGAACUGCCCUUGAUACAGCAAGUCUUGAGUUCGAGAGAGGUGGGUGGAAUUCCUAGUGUAGAGGUGAAAUUCGUAGAUAUUAGGAAGAACACCGGUGGCGAAGGCGGCCCACUGGCUCGAUACUGACGCUGAGGUGCGAAAGCGUGGGGAGCAAACAGGAUUAGAUACCCAAGUAGUCCCUGAGCGGGCUGGCAAGGCGCAU
rnacentral:rRNA from 1 species